rnacentral:rRNA from 1 species
AGACCCGAAACCCGGUGAUCUAGCCAUGGGCAGGUUGAAGGUUGGGUAACACUAACUGGAGGACCGAACCGACUAAUGUUGAAAAAUUAGCGGAUGACCUGUGGCUGGGGGUGAAAGGCCAAUCAAACCGGGAGAUAGCUGGUUCUCCCCGAAAGCUAUUUAGGUAGCGCCUCGUGAAUUCAUCUCCGGGGGUAGAGCACUGUUUCGGCUAGGGGGCCAUCCCGGCUUACCAACCCGAUGCAAACUGCGAAUACCGGAGAAUGUUAUCACGGGAGACACACGGCGGGUGCUAACGUCCGUCGUGAAGAGGGAAACAACCCAGACCGCCAGCUAAGGUCCCAAAGUCAUGGUUAAGUGGGAAACGAUGUGGGAAGGCCCAGACAGCCAGGAUGUUGGCUUAGAAGCAGCCAUCAUUUAAAGAAAGCGUAAUAGCUCACUGGUCGAGUCGGCCUGCGCGGAAGAUGUAACGGGGCUAAACCAUGCACCGAAGCUGCGGCAGCGAACGUAUCACCCAAGACAACUUUACGGAGUUGACGAUUGACGGAGCGAAGCGACGUCAAAGCGUUCAUUAAAGUCGAGUUGGCUUAGGGAUACGUUCGUUGGGUAGGGGAGCGUUCUGUAAGCCUGUGAAGGUGUGUCGUGAGGCAUGCUGGAGGUAUCAGAAGUGCGAAUGCUGACAUAAGUAACGAUAAAGCGGGUGAAAAGCCCGCUCGCCGGAAGACCAAGGGUUCCUGUCCAACGUUAAUCGGGGCAGGGUGAGUCGACCCCUAAGGCGAGGCCGAAAGGCGUAGUCGAUGGGAAACGGGUUAAUAUUCCCGUACUUGGUGUUACUGCGAAGGGGGGACGGAGAAGGCUAUGUUGGCCGGGCGACGGUUGUCCCGGUUUAAGCGUGUAGGUGUGUGUUCCAGGUAAAUCCGGUUCACUUUAACACUGAGGCGUGACGACGAGGCACUACGGUGCUGAAGCAACAAAUGCCCUGCUUCCAGGAAAAGCCUCUAAGCAUCAGGUAACACGAAAUCGUACCCCAAACCGACACAGGUGGUCAGGUAGAGAAUACCAAGGCGCUUGAGAGAACUCGGGUGAAGGAACUAGGCAAAAUGGUGCCGUAACUUCGGGAGAAGGCACGCUGACACGUAGGUGAAGUGAUUUACUCAUGGAGCUGAAGUCAGUCGAAGAUACCAGCUGGCUGCAACUGUUUAUUAAAAACACAGCACUGUGCAAACACGAAAGUGGACGUAUACGGUGUGACGCCUGCCCGGUGCCGGAAGGUUAAUUGAUGGGGUCAGCGUAAGCGAAGCUCCUGAUCGAAGCC